rnacentral:rRNA from 1 species
GGAGGAAAGCAGGGGAUCGCAAGACCUUGCGCUCAUCGAGCGGCCGAUGCCUGAUUAGCUAGUUGGUGAGGUAAAGGCUUACCAAGGCGACGAUCAGUAGCUGGUCUGAGAGGACGACCAGCCACACUGGGACUGAGACACGGCCCAGACUCCUACGGGAGGCAGCAGUGGGGAAUUUUGAACAAUGGGGGAAACCCUGAUCCAGCCAUGCCGCGUGAGUGAAGAAGGCCUUCGGGUUGUAAAGCUCUUUCAGCCGGAACGAAACAGUCACGGAUAAUACCGUGACUACUGACGGUACCGGAAGAAGAAGCACCGGCUAACUACGUGCCAGCAGCCGCGGUAAUACGUAGGGUGCGAGCGUUAAUCGGAAUUACUGGGCGUAAAGCGUGCGCAGGCGGUUUUGUAAGUC